GACGAACGCUGGCGGCGUGCUUAACACAUGCAAGUCGAACGGAAAGGCCUGCUUUCCCUUGUGGAUUGCGGGUACUCGAGUGGCGAACGGGUGAGUAACACGUGAGUGAUCUGCCCCCAACUUGGGUAUAAGCCUGGGAAACUGGGUCUAAUUCCCGAUAGGACUGCAGGGUGGUGCCUGUGUUGGAAAACGAUUUUCUAGUGGUUGGGGAUGAGCUGGCGGCCUAUCAGCUUGUUGGUGGGGUAAUGGCCUACCAAGGCGGCGACGGGUAGCCGGCCUGGGAGGGUGGACGGCGACAUUGGGACUGGGAUACGGCCCAGACUGCUACGGGAGGCAGCAGUCGGGAAUAAUGGACGAUGGGCGGAAGCCUGAAGCAGGGACGCGGGGUGGGGGAUGACGGCUUGCGGGUUGUAAACUCCUUGCGACAGAGAGGAAGCCACCUGGUUGGAAGGGUGGUGACGGUAGUGGUAGAAGAAGCACCGGCUAACUACGUG
rnacentral:rRNA from 1 species